AUGCUCACUUCAGCAGCACAUAUACUAUAAUCAUAGUGAUAUAGAAAAGAUCAGCAUAACCCUUGUGAAAAGAUGAUAUCCAAAUUGUUGUAGUGUUCCAUAUUUCU
ensembl:snRNA U6 U6 spliceosomal RNA